rnacentral:rRNA from 1 species
AGCAGCCGCGGUAAUUCCAGCUCCAAUAGCGUAUAUUAAAGUUGUUGCAGUUAAAAAGCUCGUAGUUGAAUUUCGGGAUCAAUUUACUGGUCGUGCUAUUGUACGUACUGGUUUUAUUGGUUCCUCCCUUCUGACGAACCUUGAUGCCAUUAAUUUGGUGUCUUGGGAAAUCAGGACUGUUACUUUGAAAAAAUUAGAGUGUUUAAAGCAAGCUCACGCUUGAAUACAUUAGCAUGGAAUAACGGAAUAGGACGUUUGAUUCUAUUUUGUUGGUUUCUAGGAUCGACGUAAUGAUUAAUAGGGAUAGUUGGGGGCAUUAGUAUUCAAUUGUCAGAGGUGAAAUUCUUGGAUUUAUUGAAGACUAACUACUGCGAAAGCAUUUGCCAAGGAUGUUUUCAUUAAUCAAGAACGAAAGUUAGGGGAUCGAAGACGAUCAGAUACCGUCGUAGUCUUAACCAUAAACUAUGCCGACUAGGGAUCGGAUGAUGUUAAUUUUUUAAUGACUCA